rnacentral:lncRNA from 1 species
GCCCACGGGGCGGAGCUCGCGGCCAGUGGGAGGUGCCGAGCGGCCCGAUUUAUUCCGGGCCGGGCGCACAGGCGGCAAGGACCCGCGCCGGCCACAGCAUGCAGGAACCCCGCGUGCUGGCCGCGCUCUGCGGCGCGCUGCUCUGCGCCUCCGGCCUCCUGGCCGCCUCGGAAUGAGGCCAUGGAUCUGCAUCCGACGCUGCCUGCGCCAGAAUUCCUGGACUCAUGCGGGACUGCGUCUCCUCCCACCGCUUUCCCCGCAGCUCCCCCGGAGUUGCCUGCUGCGCCCCGCUUUGGACUUACUUUUUUCUUUUUGGCGGUAUUGGGGAUUGAACCCAAGGGUUUCAUGCUGAGCUUCAUUCCUAGCCCCCUUUAAUUUUUUUUUUUUUUUUGAUAUAAGUUCUCGCCAAGUUGUUAAAUUGCUGGGCUCGAAUUUGGGAUCCUCCUGCUUCAGCCUCCCAGAAUACUGAGAUUACAGGCAUGCGCCACCGCUGCCCAGCAGUGCUUUGGACUUUUGCGCCCCCAGUCGUCUGUGUUUGACCAGAUAAAAGAAAAAGCCGCUGAGGCGGUGGGACUGACUGGCUGGCUGGAGGGCCGGGGAGCUAUUGAAAAAGGGCCGCCCUUGGUGCGGGGGGCUCCGCCUCCCUCCCUCCUGUGGCCUUGGCUGCAGGCGGUAUCUUUCCUGGUCCUCCUCCCCCGCCGAGGCCCCAGGGACUGUGGGGCCUCUGGCAGGCUGCUCCGCAGGAUGCUGCACUCCCUUCGCUGUCGGGUGACGGCAAGGGCUUCUCAGGCAGUCCCCCAUCAUCUCAUAGGAAUGGGGUCUACUGAGGCAAGGAGGUCCCAGCUGGGUUCCAGCUCCGCUGUCCUGUGAAAUAUCUGCCACCCGGGCUGGAGCUGAAGCCUCCUGUACACCCCAGCCACCCGGAAAGAUGUCCAGGUCUUCGCAGCGCCCCCCCUCCCCCCAACCUGCGGCCUGGCCAGAGGCCCCGGUUGGUGGUUCCCCUGGAGCCGGACCCUGAAAGCCAACCCUGGGCGAGUUUGUAGACGGCGAUUUGGCUCUUCCCGGGAGGAGGCACCAGGGCCACCUUAGACAGUGACCCCGCCUUUCCCCUUUGCCCCCCCCGCCCCCAGCCGCACCGGGAGGGUGUGGCUGGGAGGGGAGGCCUUGGAGCCCAGGCUCCUGGUCCUAGCAGUGCCCUCCUCCCGCUGCCGGGUCAGAGGCGGGAUUAACC